rnacentral:rRNA from 1 species
CAGCAGCAGCCGCGGUAAUACGUAGGGUGCAAGCGUUAAUCGGAAUUACCGGGCGUAAAGCGUGCGCAGGCGGUUAUAUAAGUCAGAUGUGAAAUCCCCGGGCUCAACCUGGGAACUGCAUUUGAGACUGUAUGGCUAGAGUGUGUCAGAGGGGGGUAGAAUUCCACGUGUAGCAGUGAAAUGCGUAGAUAUGUGGAGGAAUACCGAUGGCGAAGGCAGCCCCCUGGGAUAACACUGACGCUCAUGCACGAAAGCGUGGGGAGCAAACAGGAUUAGAUACCCCGGUAGUCCCUGUCUCUUAUAC